UAGUAAAUUAGUAGUUUAAAGUCAGAGUUGGUAUUCAGACACAAUUGUCAUCUUCCAGGAAAUCUUAACUUAAACAACUGAUUAAGAAUCAGCUCAAAACACAUGCUCCCAGGAUGACAUCAGGGGAUGAUGCUCAUCAUAAUCUGUGGGUUUUUUAGUCACUUUAUGAGUUUUUCACACGUCAUUUUUGGUAUGUUAGGUUUUUGCUCCAGCAGUGAGUGGAGAUGCAACACUGUGAUUAUUUCGACUACUGGGGCAAAGGGACUGAAGUCACAGUAACAGAUACUACAACUGCAUCACCGACUCUGUUCCCUUUGGUUCAGUGCAGUUCUGGGUCUGCAGAUCAAAUCACUGUUGGCUGUCUUGCACAAGACUUCUACCCAAAGGGUCUUACUUUUCAGUGGACAGAUGCCAGUGGGACCAACCAGACUGCUGUACAAUAUCCUCCAGCUGAGAAAAACAACAAAUAUACAAGAGUCAGUUUGCUCACUGUAUCAAAAUCUGAAUGGGAUUCAAAGAGCUAUACUUGUUCUGUGACUCACCCCGGAGGCUCCAGAACCGUGAAACUGUUAAAAGCUUCCCCACCACGCACAGUGGACUCAUCGUCUGUCAAAAUGCAACUGAACGUCUCAAGUGUCAAAGAUAUUGUUAACAACAAACAGGCAGCGUUGAAGUGUAUCAUUACUGGACAGGACCAGAAUGUUGUAAAUCAAAUUCAAAUCAGUUGGCAAAUCGAUGGAUCCCCUGUGACCAAGAACAUCCAAACAACGCAGACGGCAGGCAGCAGAGUCAGCACAAUGAUUGUUACCCGCGAUGAGUGGAUAAGAUUCAAAGAGGUGCGCUGUUCUGCCACGAAAGACGGCAUGACACCAGUUGAUCAAGAGCUGACUCUCCACAAAGGAGAGCCAAAAGUAACAGUCCACGUCCUCCAAGAGGUGGACAUCAAAAAUGAGGUCACUCUGGUGUGUCUGGUCUCCAGUCCGGUGCAGCAGGAUUACUACAUCACCUGGUUAGAACAAGAUGGAACAAACCCUUCCAACUAUGUUGAUGGCACUAACUUCCCCCCAGUGAAGUCCCAACAAGGAUAUUCAGUUGCAAGUGUUUACACCACCACCAAGGACAAGUGGGACAAUUCCUACAAUUUCUCCUGCCGGACAUUUUCUGGUGGUGUCGAACACCCUACAAUAGCCAGUGCAUCUAAUGCCCACAGUAACUCCAUUGAACAUUUUACUCCAGAAUCAAACCUGAGUUUUGCUCUGAGCUGCACAGAUGAAGCCUUUGAGGAGGAAGAGUACAGCAGCCUUUGGUCCACAGCCUUCUCCUUCAUAAUCCUCUUCAUAUCCUCUCUUCUCUAUUGCAUGAUAAUCAGCCUGGUCAAGAUGAAGAGAACAUAAAGGAUGAGAUGGAUGCACAGCAUGAGAAUGACAGGUCUCAUUUGUUUUUUUGUCUUUUUUAACUAGUUUUAAAUACCAUGUACAAUCGAAAAAAAUCGAUAAUCUACCUUAUAUUUGCCAGAUAAAAUGGUCAUCAUAUAUAAUGAUUAAGUCAUUGAAAAUGGAUUUAUCUGUAACCUGUAGAAGAAAUAAUAAAUACAAUUGCAAUUCUUAA